GAUGUGCAUAUCGACAGGAAAUUACGAUUCAAUUUUUUUUCUAGGAGUUACGCCCCUUUGAACUUAUUUGCUUCAAUAUACCUCUGCAACAGUUUGUCAUCGCAACUCCUCUGAAACCACACAACAGAAUUUCAUGAAACUUUGUUGAUAAUAAGGACAUACUAGGUAGAUGUGCAUAUCGACAGGAAAUUAUGAUUCAAUUUUUAUACGACCGCAAAAAAAUUUUGUGGUUGUAUAUUGGUAUGACAUUGGCGUUGUCGUCGACUGGCGUCGUCGUCCGGCGUCGUCGUCGUCGUCCGGCGUCGUCGUCCGAAGACACAUUGGUUUUCGCACUCUAACUUUAGUUUAAGUUAAUGGAUCUUUUUGAAAUUUGACCAUAAGGUUAAAUACCACAAAAGGAAGGUUGGGAUUGAUUUUGGGGGUUAUGGUACCAACAGUUAAGGAAUUAGGGGCCAAAAAGGGGCCAAAAAUAAGCAUUUUCUAGUUUCCAGACAAUAACUGUGGAACGGUGUAUGGAUCUCUCUGGAAUUAUACUACAAAUUUCCAUACCACAAAGGGAUGGUUAGGAUUUGCUUUGGGGGUUAUGGCUCAAACCGUUUAGGAAUUAGGGGCAAAAAAGGGGGAAAAACAAGGUUGUCCUGGUUAAUGGACAAAUACUUUAGUACAAAACAUAAUUUAAAGCAGUGUAAGGGAGAUAAAUCAAAUACAUCAUUGAAAUUAUCUCCCUUACACUGCUUUUAAAUUAUGUAUAAAGUAAUGGUUAAUGAACAAUAAAGAUAAUUUAAAACAGUGUAAGGGAGGUAAUCCAAAUACAACGUUCCCUUACACUGCUUUUAAAUUAUGUUUAAAGAAAUGCAUAUUUAUAAAGGAAGACCAGUAAAAAUAUCUGCAAAUGUUGCAUCUUUUUUUUUUACAAAAAAAUCCAUAUGAAAGAUUUGACACUAUAUUUUUAAUUCUAUUAUAAAAUAGAUUAAGUUAGAACUAUGGUAAAUUUAAAUGGGUAAUUAUGGUUGCCAACUCCAUUGGAAAUUUGAAUUGAGAUUAUGACCAUAUCUUGAGGGAAAGAAUUUUUUGGGGGAAAAAAGGGGGGAGGGAUAAAAAGAAAUUGUGGGGGGUCAAUUUUUCUCAUUUCAGAUUUCAGAAAUUAAAAAAAUUAUUCUUCAAAUAUUAUUUUUUUUUCAAAUUUCAAUUAUUGAAAAAUUUCAAGAAGAAAUCUUUAAUUGCACAGUAUCGCGCAUUAGAUUUGUAAAAUCUUUGAUCACAUUUAUUUAUUUGUUAUGCCGAAUCCAACAGUGUAUUUAGAUUUUUAAUUUUGGGUCCAGUUUUCAAAUUGAUCUACAUUAAUGUCCAAAGGGUCCAAAAUUAAACUUUGUUUGAUUUUAGCAAAAAUUGAAUAUAUGAGGUUCUUUGAUAUGCUGAAUCUAAACAUGUAUCUAGAUUUUUGAUUUUUGGCCCAGUUUUCAAGUUGGUCCAAAUUGGGGUCCAAAAUUAAACUUUGUUUGAUUUCAACAAAAAUUGAAUAUAUGGGGUUCCUUGAUAUGCUGAAUCUAACCAUGUAUUUAGAUUUUUUAUUUGUGGACCCCGUUAUCAAAUUGGUUCAUAUUGAGGUCAAAAGGGUCCAAAAUUAAACUUUGUUUGAUUUCAUCAAAAAUUGAAGUAUUGGGGUUCUUUGAUAUGGCAAAUCUAACCGUGUUUUUAGAUUUUUAAUUUGGGUCCCGUUUUUUAAAUUGGUCUUCAUUGAGGUCCAAAGGGUCCAAAAUUAAACUUAGUUUGAUUUUAACAAAAAUUGAAUUCUUGGGGUUCUUUGAUAUGCUGAAUCUAAACAUGUGUUUAGAUUUUUGAUUAUGGGCCCAGUUUUCAAGUUGGUCCAAGUUGGGGUCCAAAAUUAAACUUUUUUUUAUUUCAACAAAAAUUGAAUAUAUGGGGUUCUUUGAUAUGCUGAAUCUAACCAUGAAUUUAGAUUUUUUAUUUGUGGGCCCCGCUAUCAAAUUGGUUCAUAUUGAGGUCAAAAGGGUCCAAAAUUAAACUUUGUUUGAUUUCAUCAAAAAUUGAAUUAUUGGGGUUCUUUGAUGUUCCAAAUCUAACCGUGUAUUUAGAUUUUUAAUUUUAAGUCCCGUUUUUUAAAUUGGUCUACAUUAAGGUCCAAAGGGUCCAAAAUUAAACUUAGUUUGAUUUUAGCAAAAAUUGAAUUCUUGGGGUUAUUUGAUAUGCUGAAUCUAAACAUGUGCUUAGAUUUUUGAUUAUGGGCCCAAUUUUCAAGUUUGUCCAAGUUGGGGUCCAAAAUUAAACUUUGUUUGAUUUUAACAAAAAUUGAAUAUAUGGGGUUCUUUGAUAUGCUGAAUCUAACCAUGUAUUUUGAUUUUGGACAUUGGACCAUAAUAGGUAAAUUAAAAAAAUUCAAGUUCUAAGACCACAUUCUUUCUGUGUCAGAAACCUAUGCUGUGUCAAAUAUUUAAUAACAAUCCAAAUUCAGAGCUGUAUCAAGCUUGAAUGUUGUGUCCAUACUUGCCCCAACUGUUCAGGGUUCGACCUCUGCGGUCGUAUCAAGCUGCGCCCCAGCGAAGCAUUUUAUUUUUCUAGGAGUUACGCCCCUUUGAACUUAUUUACUUUAAUGUACUACUGCAACAGUUUGUCAUCUCAACUCCUCUGAAACCACACAGCAGAAUUUCAUGAAACUUUGUAGAUAAUAAGGCCAUACUACGUAGAUGUGCAUAUCGACAGGAAAUUACGAUUCAAUUUUUUUUCCAGGAGUUACGCCCCUUUGAACUUAUUUGCCCAAUAUACUACUGCAACCUUUUGUCAUCGCAACUCCUCUCAAACCACACAAUAGAAUUUCAUCAUACCUUUUCAGAUAAUAAGGACAUACUACGUAGAUGUGCAUAUCGACAGGAAAUUAUGAUUCAAUUUUUUUUCUAGGAGUUACGCCCCUUUGAACUUAUUUGCUUCAAUAUACCUCUGCAACAGUUUGUCAUCGCAACUCCUCUGAACCCACACAACAGAAUUUCAUGAAACUUUGUAGAUAAUAAGGACAUACUAUGUAGAUGUGCAUAUCGACAGGAAAUUAUGAUUCAAUUUUUUUUUCUUAUACAAUUUUUUUUUCUUACAGUUAUUUUAUUUCUCCAGUGACAAUGUGGGGACGUGGGGUAUGUGAGCGCGCUCACUAAGGUUCUUUAAUUUUAAUAAGUUUCGGUUUGCUCAACCCACAUGUAGGCAGAAAUGUACUUGGUCAGAAAUGUCUCCCCAUUACAUGUACAGUUUUUCAAUCAUGAUAAUGGAAGCCAUACUAUAUUUUUAGUAUAAAUAAGUAUAUAAGAUGCAAACAAUCUUUAUUUAUAAAUCUACAUUAAACUUUUAAAGUUUGUAGAAAUAAAUGUGAACAAUCCAAUUUGGCUGCUUUUACCUUCUUUAAUAAAGAGUUCCAUUUCUUUUUGUUUAAUUACAACUGGAUAUCUGCCUGUAUGAGCAGAGAAUGAACCCUUUUGAUUUUAUAAGUUUAUUGUAAAAUUGAUAUCAGGGUCAGGAGUUGGCAGUGAAAGAUUCUAUCUUAUCAAAACAUUACUGUCUAAACAAAUCAGCCAAUUUUAAUUAAAUAAGCUAAGAUUUGAACUUCCUCAAGGACCUUCUAUAAGCUCUAAUUGCACUCAAAGGAUAUUCAAUAAGCACCAGGUUUUCUUCUUAUAAUAUCUAAUCAUACCUAAGCUUCUUGAAACUGCUUUUCAAAUUUUAUCAAUAUUUUGCUUGAGUGAUGAUGGUUCUGUUGGACUUUAUGAUUAUUAGAUGAAUUGGAUUAUCUUUUUGGAUCUUUUCAUUUAAAGCCAGUUUAUGGUCAUCAAGUGUAACAUGGAAGAAUUGUCAUUUCUUUAUGAAUUCAUAUGUUAAAUGCAUCCUUAGACCAAUUGAUUUAUUAAAAAGGUUGAACAUUAUACCUACUGAACUAUAUUGGUUGUACAUUAUAAUUGUUAUAAUAAUAAGGAUGGUAGAAAUACUGAUUGAAACAUAUCAACUGAAUGUUUACAUCUCCAAAAAGUCUACUUAAUUUACAUAUUAUUCAUCUUUAAACUUAUUCACCCCUUUCUAGCAGGCACUGAAACUUUAAGUUAUUGAUGAGUUUCUGUUAAUUAACAAUAUUCAACUGUCUUAAAUGAAAUUGAAUAACAAUGAAUAUAAUCUUGAUUGCAAUUGAUAAUCAAGUUUAAAAAUUUUUUUAGACCCAGAAAGUCAUUUGAAAAGAACAAGUUUGGUUAUCCUUGCAUGACUAAAAAUUGAUUAGCAAAUAUUUGUAGUCUCACUGUCUUAUCUAAAAGGUUACCAUGCAAACUCAACAAAGACAACAAAUUUUUUUCAUGGGGUACUUGAAGAAGUGAAUGUCUUAUUUAACUUUCCCAUUUGGUUGUAUAGCACUUGACAUGUUUGGGUACUUAUCCUUGUCUUUAAGCAUUCCUGAUGAAGAUAAAUCAAGAAAAGGGCUUGGGGUGCAUACAACUUUUAAAGUGUUAUUUCAUUUUUAUACGACCACAAAAAAUAUUGUGGUCAUAUAUUGGUAUCACGUCGUCAUCGUUGUCGUCAGCAUCGUCCGAAGACAUUUGGUUUCCGGACAAUAACUUUGGUAAAUGUAAAUAGAAAUCUAUGAAAUUUAAACACAAGGUUUAUAAUCACAAAAGGAAGGUUGGGAUUGACUUUGGGGGUUAUAGUCCUAACAGUUUAGGAAUUAGGGGCCAAAAAGGGGCCCAAAUAAGCAUUUUUCUAGUUUCCAGACAAUAACUUGUGGAACGGUGUAUGGAUCUCUCUACAAUUAUACCACAAAUUUCCAUACCUCAAAGGGAUGGUAAGGAUUGGCUUUGGGUUUUUUUUGGCUCAAACCGUUUAGGAAUUAGGGGCAAAAAAGUGAGAAAAAAACAAGGGUGUCCUGGUUAAUGGACAAUUUCUUAAGUACAAAUUACAGUGUAAGGGAGGUAAUUCAAUGUUGUGCUUGAAUUACCUCCCUUUCACUGCUUUUAAAUUAUGUAUAAAGAAAUGUUGUAUUGUCUAGAGGUGAUUAGCUGUCAAUUUAGUUUUAGAAGUUACUAUUUUAAUAAUUUUAAAAAUGCUGAUUAAGGUAAAUUAAUUUCAGCCAUGAUUAUGUAUGUCAUUUUCUAUUUUAAGACUUUUAUCAUAUAUUUAAAUGGGUAAUUAUGGUUGCAAACUCCAUUGGAAAUUUGAAUUGAGAUUAUGACCAUAUCUUGAGGGAAAGAAUUUUUUUUUUUUGGAAAAGGGGGGGAGGGCAGGUUAAAAAAAAAUUGAAAGGCGGGGGGGGGGGGGGGGGGGGGGGGGG